CACACACAUUCCAUACACAUACACAGACACACAUUCCAUACACACACACACAUUCCAUACACAGACACACAUUCCAUAAACACACACACAUUCCAUACACACACACAUUCCAUACACACACACAUUCCAUACACACACACAUUCCAUAUACACAUACACAUUCCGUAUACACACACAGACUCAUUCCAUACACACACAGAGACACAUUCCAUUACACACACUCAGACACAUUCCACACACACACAUUCAUACACACACACAUUCCAUACACACACACAGAAUCAUUCCAUACACACACAGACACAUUCCAUACACACAGACACACAUUUGAUACACACACACAUUCCAUAUACACACACAUUCCAUACACACACAUUGCAUACCAACACACACACAUUCCAUACACAUACACAGACACACAUUCCAUACACACACAAACACAUUCCGUACACAUACUCAGACACACAUUCCAUACACACACACACAUUCCGUACACACACACAGUCACACAUUCCAUACACACACACAUUCCAUACGCACAAACACAUUCCAUACACACACACAUAUUCCAUAAACACAAACACAUUCCAUACACACACACAGACUAAUUCCAUACACAGAGACACAUUCCAUACACUUACGCAGACACAUUCCACACACACACACAUUCCAUGCACACACAUAGACUCAUUCCGUACACACACAUAGACACAUUCCAUACACACACAGACACAUUCCAUAUGCAUACGCAGGUAUGUCCCCAAAGAAAUAGAUUGUCUCCAUCAUAUGCACAUUAACCCAACGAAAUACUUUUGGAGCUCUGUAACACCCAAACUUGACUCACAACACACAUGAACACUGAACCACACAAAUGAAACCUACACUACCCAGACAUACCCAUUGUUUGAAGACUUGCUGCAAAAUACCCAGCCUUACGCCAUGAUAUACAGACUUGGCCCAUUGACCUAUACCUACCUUGAAUCACAGGGACUGAUAGAGCAACACUCAGAUGUGGCCCACAACCACAGAUAUGCCCUACCAAACAACUUUUUGUCUUCAUAACAUGAAGGCUUACCUCACAGAACACAGAAAGGAUGAACAACACAGACAAAUCAGACAACGCAGAAACACAUCCCAUGACACCCAGACUUGCUGCACAGCAUUCAGACUCACACUAUGACACUCAUACUCACUCAAUAACACUGAUUGCUUCACAACAUACGCACAUAGCCCAAAACACACAAACAUCAUCCACAACUAACAGACAUGUCCUACAAUACAGGGGCAUGCCACACAAUUCACAAACUUUUUCUACACUGCCAACACUUGUCUCACAUAACACACACAAAUAAAAAAAAACCACAAAGACAUGCUCCAUAGCACCCAGACUCGCUUCACUACUUUCAGACUUACCUUAUGGCACCCACACGUACCUUAUAUCAUACACAUUUACCCUGCAACACUCAGCCUGGCCACAGAAUAUAUUUACAUGUCCAUGCCCCACAACGCACGCACAUGCCUUCCAACACAUGGACACACCCAAAAUACACAAACGUUUUACACGACAUACACUGACCCCAAAGAAUGGCAUCAUAAUGCACAAUUAUAACCAACUCAGAUCUACCCUACAGAACAAAGACUCACCUCCCAUACUUAUCACACAAUUCCUAAAUUUACACCAAACACUCACACUCAUCCCAAAAUGCAUAAACCCACCCCAGAACACAUGCAGCACAACACGUAGAUUUGCCCUCACUUAGAAUAAAUUCACAGCUCACACUUGUCACCCAAUGGCCAGACACACCUUACAAUGUACAGACAACUCUUUCACAACGUAGACAUUGCCUAAGCAAUGCACAGAAUUCCAUAACAUCACGAGCUCUUCCUACAAUGGCGACUUACCUCACAGCACCCCAGAUUGCAUCAGAGCAGACACUCCACCCAAGAUAUAC
rnacentral:lncRNA from 10 species